rnacentral:rRNA from 1 species
AUGCGAGAUGCCGCCGCCCUGGAGCUCCACGCCGGGGCGCCGCGGACGGCGCUCGCCGCCGCCGCCGACCACUGCGCGCGCCUCCUGCGGCAGUGCGGCGCGGCCGCCAACCCGGGCGCCGGGCGCGCCGUCCACGCGCGCGCCGUCAAGGCCGGCCUCCUCGCCAGCGCCUACCUCUGCAACAACCUCCUCUCCUACUACGCCGCCGCCGGAGGAGGCGGCGCCCUCGGCCUCCGGGAGGCGCGGCGCCUGUUCGACGAGGUCCCCGCGGCGCAGCGGAACGUGUUCACCUGGAACUCGCUGCUGUCGAGCUACGCCAAGUCGGGCCAACUGGCCGACGCGCGCGCCCUGUUCGCGGAAAUGCCCGAGCGCGACGCCGUGUCGUGGACCGUCAUGGUCGUGGGGCUCAACCGCGCCCGCCGCUUCGGGGAGGCCGUCGAGGCGUUCCUGGACAUGGUUGGGGACAGGCUGGCGCCGACGCAGUUCACGCUCACAAACGUGCUCUCGUCGUGCGCGGCCGCGGAGGCCGGCGGGGCCGGGAGGAGGGUGCACUCCUUCGCCGUCAAGCUCGGGCUGGGCGGCUGCGUGCCCGUGGCCAACUCGGUGCUCAACAUGUACGGCAAGUGCGGGGACGCCGAGACAGCGAGGGCUGUGUUUGAGAGGAUGCCGGCGCGGAGCGUGUCGAGCUGGAACGCCAUGGUGUCGCUCGACGCCCGUCUGGGGAGGAUGGACCUUGCUUUGUCCUUGUUCGAGAGCAUGCCGGACCGGACCAUUGUCUCAUGGAACGCGGUCAUCACGGGGUACAACCAGAAUGGGCUUGACGCCAAGGCACUGUGGUUCUUCUCCCGGAUGCUGUGCGAUUCUUCUUCCAUGGUGCCGGAUGAAUUCACAAUCACCAGUGUCCUGUCAGCUUGCGCCAACCUUUGCAUGGUGAGCAUCGGAAAGCAGGUGCAUGCAUACAUCUUACGGAGCGGAAUGCCGUGCGUCGGUCAGGUCACCAAUGCCCUCAUCUCAAUGUAUGCCAAGUCCGGCAGCGUUGAGAAUGCCAGGGGGGUGAUGGACCAGGCAGUGGUGGCCGAUCUGAAUGUGAUAUCCUUCACCGCUCUCCUGGAAGGCUAUGUCAAGCUUGGAGAUAUGAAGCGUGCAAGGGAGAUCUUCGAUAUCAUGACCAACCGAGAUGUCGUCGCCUGGACUGCGAUGAUCGUCGGCUACGAGCAGAAUGGUUACAACGACGAGGCCAUGGAGCUCUUCAGGUCAAUGAUCAGAAGCGGACCAGACCCAAACAGCUAUACGCUCGCUGCUGUUCUUAGCGUCUGCGCGAGCCUGGCAUGUCUUGACUACGGCAAGCAGAUCCACUGUAAGGCCAUCAGAUCACUGCAGGAACAAUCCAGCUCCGUCAGCAACGCCAUCGUCACCAUGUACGCGAGGUCAGGCAGCCUGCCAUUGGCGAGGAGGGUGUUUGAUCGGGUCCGCUGGCGCAACGAGACGGUGACAUGGACGUCGAUGAUCGUAGCCUUGGCGCAGCAUGGCCUGGGAGGAGACGCCGUUGGCCUGUUUGAAGAAAUGCUCCGAGUCGGCGUGAAGCCGGACCGAAUAACCUAUGUCGGCGUGCUCUCAGCGUGCACCCAUGCUGGCUUUGUGGACCAAGGGAGGAUGUACUACCAGCAGAUGCAGGACAAGCAUGGCAUCGUGCCUGAGAUGAGCCACUAUGCGUGCAUGGUCGACCUGCUCGCCCGUAGCGGCCUGCUCUCCGAAGCUCAGGAGUUUAUCGGGCAAAUGCCCGUGGAGCCUGACGCGAUCGCCUGGGGGGCGCUGCUCUCGGCCUGCAGGGUCCACAAGGACGCGGACCUGGCGGAGCUGGCGGCGGAGAAGCUGCUGUCGAUCGACCCCGGCAACAGCGGCGCCUACUCGGCGCUCUGCAACGUCUAUGCCGCCUGCGGGAGGUGGGGCGACGCGGCGAUGGCUUGGAAGCGGAGGAAGGACGGAGGUGUGAGGAAAGAGACGGGGUUCAGCUGGACGCACGUGCGCGGCAGGGUCCACGUCUUCGGGGCGGAUGACACCCUGCACCCGCAGAGGGAGGCUGUCUACAGGAUGGCUGCCAAGAUGUGGCAGGAUAUCAAGAAGGCUGGCUUCGUGCCGGACCUCCAGUCGGUCCUGCACGACGUCGAUGACGAGCUCAAGGAGGAGAUGCUGAGCCGGCACAGUGAGAAGCUCGCCAUCGCGUUCGGCCUCCUGGCCACGCCGGAGGGGACGACGCUGCGGGUCAUGAAGAACCUGCGGGUGUGCAACGACUGCCACACGGCGAUCAAGUUCAUCUCCAAAGUCGCGGACAGGGAGAUCAUCCUGCGGGACGCCACGAGGUUCCACCAUUUCAGGGAUGGGUUAUGUUCUUGCAAAGAUUAUUGGUAG